rnacentral:rRNA from 1 species
AGGCUGAUGAUGCCCAAGAGUCCAUAUCGACGGCAUUGUUUGGCACCUCGAUGUCGGCUCAUCGCAUCCUGGGGCUGAAGGCGGUCCCAAGGGUUAGGCUGUUCGCCUAUUAAAGCGGUACGCGAGCUGGGUUCAGACCGGCGUGAGCCAGGUCGGUCCCUAUCUGCUGUGGGCGUACCAUGUUUGAGAGGAUUCUUCUUUAGUACGAGAGGAUUAGGAAGGACGUACCCCUGGUGCGCCGGUUGGUCUGCUAAGGCCAUCGCCGGGUAGCUAAGUACGGCAGGGAUAACCACUGAAAGCAUCUAAGUGGGAAGCCCCCCUCGAGAUUAGACAUGGAUGAGACCCCUCGGAGACUACGAGGUUGAUAGGACGCAAGUGUAAGGGCCGAAAUGCCUUCAGCUGAGCGUUACUAACGGUCGAUCG